rnacentral:tRNA from 1 species
GCCUGGGUGGCUCAGUCGGUUGAGUGUCUGAUUUCAGCUCUGGUCAUGGCCUCACGGUUCAUGGGUUCGAGUCCCACAUCAGGCU